GACUGACGAGUGGGAGGGUUAGGGGAAGCUGCUGUUUACCGUCCCUCUGCAGAGUAGUUCCAUGAAACCUCGCUGUUUGUAAGCCCACAGAGAAGAUUUAGGAGAGAACGGUUGCCCUUCCCUCCAUACACGACUUAAAGCUUGCUCUGCUCCAGGCCAAGUCCAAUUACACUUGAGAAGGAAAGUCUUGGGUUCGGCCCCUCACCUGCAGCAUGUGCCCUCAGGGUGUCUGGGGUAGGGGGCUCAGCCCCCAGGUUUUAACAACCACCAUGUUUUUAUAUGAUUCGCUUUAUCUGUUGAAAAACAACCAUGAAAACUGACCCCUUUGCCCCAAAUUGCCAACACAGGACUGAGGGUCAGCCACUGUUUUUCCUCAUUUGCUCUUUGUUUUCCAUUGAGUUUUCAAUUGCUUUUGGCACUAGAAUGCAGGUAGCAUCCACCUGAGGCAUGUGGCGUACUUCAGAUGAAUUUAUCCGAUGGAGGGGGAUCGCGAGGCCCCUUGUCAGGACUUUGGUGGCUUGUAGCCAGAGGAAGGAAGUGGAACUUGUCUAAACGGAGUUAUGAUCAAUGACUUCACGUAUGUAAGGAAGAUCACGACAACGGAGGAGCGGAGCCACUUACCUGUGAGCCACUUGUUCCCGAGUGGAUGCCUUUGACAGAGAAGUACUGUGUGCGGGACUCGAAUUCACAGAAAAUCGAGUGUUCUAAGAAAUAUGGAGAUUACAAUUCCCUUCAGUUGCGUGUGAAUUUCCCUGGAUAUCAGCUGGAUCUGCUCACCCUCGACUCGCCAGCCACCAGAGCCCGCGUCCCCGCUGACUACAAAGCCCCAGGGAGCCAGAGGAGUGGACUGUCUCUGAGGGUUCCAGAGCUCAAUGAGCUUUUCUCAAGUUUUUGGUAUUUUCACACCUGGGGCUGGAGGUGAACACAGGCUUGGCUGGACAUUGUGCUCAGGAUGAUGCGCCAGGAUCCGCAGUUUUCGGUGAACCCUUUGGACUUGCAGAAGAGCCGACAGUGGGCGAGCAUCACUUGAUGCCCAGACAGCGUGUUACGGUAGUAAGUCCUUCCCCGACAGAAGUCUGGUCCCGGAUGUUUCCACUCACACUAAGAGGUGAGAGGGAGUGUGUCCACCUGGGAUCUGACCUGGCUGCACCUUGGGCUCUGCCUCUAUCUGGCCACUUCUCCUGUGCAGGGCUCCGUUCUUGUUGGAAGUGCUAAGGGAUCAGACGGCUAUUUUUCAGUGGUUUCCUUGGGCGAGUCCAUCGACUCAGCAGGCAUUUAUCAAGCACCUCCUCUGCGGCGGCUCGCAACCACAGCAUUUUUCCUCUCUUGCUUCCUUCAGGGUCAUUUCUGCUGUGUCUGUUCUCGUCUCUCUUCUUGGGGAUCAGUGGGGAUCUGUUGACCUCAGAUAACUGACGACUCGCCUACCACUGGCUCAAAUAAAUAGGGUUUCUCCUGUCUCCCA
rnacentral:lncRNA from 1 species